ACGCUGGCGGCGUGCCUAAUACAUGCAAGUCGAGCGAUGAGGCUCCUUCGGGAGUACAUCAGCGGCGAACGGGUGAGUAACACGUAGGUGACUUGCCCCGAAGAUGGGGAUAACCUCUGGAAACGGGGGCUAAUACCCAAUGUGCUCGGUGAUCGGUUGAUCGAGUAAAGCUCCGGCGCUUCGGGAGAGGCCUGCGGCCAUCAGCUAUCGUAGGUAACGGCUACCAAGCAAACGGUAGGGGCGUGAGAGCGCGGACCCCCAACUGGCACUGCGACACGGGCCAACUCCUACGGGAGGCAGAUAAGAAUAUGCGCAAUGGACGAAAGUCAGACGCAGCGACGCCGCGUGGGCGAUGAAGCCUUCGGGUUGUAAAGCCCUUUUAUGGGGGAAGAGGAAAAAGCGACGGUACCCCAUGAAAUAAGUCCCGGCUACUACGUUGGCCAGCAGCCGCCGGGGGGUAAAACGUAGGGACAAGCGUUAUCCGGAUUCACUGGGCGUAAAGAGCGUUGAGGCGGUUCCGUAAGUGGGCGUGAAGCUCCGGGCUUACCGAAAUGUCGCAAUACUGGGGGUUGAGACAGAGAGGAAGGUGGAAUUCCCGGGUGUAGUGGUGAAAUGCGUAGAUAUCGGGAGGAACACCCGGUGGCGAAAGGCCGGGCUUCUGGGCUGUUCCUGACCUGAAGGCGAAGCUAGGGAGCGAACGGGAUUAGAUACCCGGUAGUCCUAGCUGUAAACGAUGGAUGCUGGGUGUGGGGGG
rnacentral:rRNA from 1 species